rnacentral:tRNA from 1 species
GGUAAGAUGGCUGAAGGUUUAGCGGCGGAUUGUAGUCCCGAAGAUAAAGGUUUAAGUCCUUUUUUUACC